ensembl:lncRNA
GUGGCAGGAUGUGCAGGUCUAAAGGGACUUCAUCUGAGCCCAGUAAAUGUGCCCACUUCAUGCUGUUGAGUCCCAUGGCACAGGUGUCAGUGUGGAGGAGGUGCUGUUGAGUCCCAUGGCACAGGUGUCAGUGUGGAGGAGGUGCUGUUGAGUCCCAUGGCACAGGUGUCAGUGUGGGGGAGGUGCUGUUGAGUCCCAUGGCACAGGUGUCAGUGUGGAGGAGGUGCUGUUGAGUCCCAUGGCACAGGUGUCAGUGUGGGGGAGGUGCUGUUGUGUCCCAUGGCACAGGUGUCAGUGUGGAGGAGGUGCUGAAAGGCCUCUCUGGUGGAGGAGAGAGUGGAGGAGGUUUGGCAGCAGGAGUCC